AGCCCUCUUCAGGGAAGAUUUUGCCCCAGGAGACCAACUUUCUCAUAUCUCCUCUGCCAUGGCCUGGACCUCUUUUCUCCUCCUCCUCUUCAUGAACUGCACCGGGGCCUUUGCUCAGUUUUUCCUGACUCAACCACCUUACAUAUCAGCAUCCCUUGGAGAAACGAUCAGGAUCUCCUGCACUAGGAGCUGUGGGAACAUCGGCAGCUAUUACGUAUCCUGGUACCAGCAGAAACAUGGCAGCUCCCCCAGACUGGUGAUGUACGGCUUCAGCACCAGACCUGCCGGGAUCCCCGAGCGAUUCUCAGGCGCCAUCGACAGCUCGUCCAACUCCGCCACUUUAACCAUCUCCAACAUCCAAGAAGAAGACGAGGCUGAUUAUUACUGUUUAUCUUACGAUGAUGGCCCGGUUGAACACACGAUGCUCCAGGUGUAUGAGGAAGACAACCACACUGGGAUGUGUUUUCUGGACCAAACAUGCGAUGGAGAGACCUUGUGCUAAGCACGUCUACCCAGAAGGGAACCUCACACAAGCCACCUUGAGUUCCAUGAUGGAAGGAAGACAAGAUAUCAAUGUAGAAUACAGAUGCUUUUGAAUAAAACAGUGUUGCAUCCAUA